rnacentral:rRNA from 1 species
CUCAAUAGCAUAUAUUAAAGUUGUUGCGGUUAAAAGCUCGUAGUUCGAGUUCCGUUCCGGACUGGCCGGGGAGGUCACCGCCCGGUGCCUGCCCGCCAGCCUCCGGACAGCUCAAGCCCCGCCGGUUCUACGCCGGGGUGCUCUUCGCCGAGUGUCCCGCGCGGCCGGCACGUUUACCUUGAAUAAAUAAGAGUGCUCAAGGCAGGCUACUCUUCAAACCUAUGCCCGAAAGAUAACUGCAUGGAAUAAUGAAAAAGGAUCUCGGUCUCAUUUCUGAUUGGCUCUGGGGACCGAGAUAAUGAUAAAAAGAGACUGUCGGGGGCAUCCGUACUACGACGCGAGAGGUGAAAUUCUAUGACCGUCGUAGGACGAACAACAGCGAAAGCAUUUGCCAAGAAUGUCUUCAUUGAUCAAGAACGAAAGUUAGAGGAUCGAAGGCGAUCAGAUACCGCCCUAGUUCUAACCCUAAACGAUGCUGACUAGCAAUCCGCCGUCGUUAUUCCCAUGACGUGGCGGGCCGCUCCCGGGAAACCUCAAGUCUUUGAGUUCCGGGGGUAGUAUGGUUGCAAAACUGAAACUUAAAGGAAUUGACGGAAGGGCACCACCAGGAGUGGAGCCUGCGGCUUAAUUUGACUCAACACGGGAAACCUCACCAGGCCCAGACACUAGCAGGAUUGACAGAUUAAGAGCUCUUUCUCGAUUUGGUGGGUGGUGGUGCAUGGCCGUUCUUAGUUGUGA